ACCGGGGAUCAGAUGUGACUCAGUACCAGAUCCGCUUCCACUUCUCCUGGACCUGUUCGCUGCCUACUCUCCCCAGGUUCCACAACUCCACCCCUUCUCCUGCACCUCAGCCAUGGCACAAGACCACCUGAGUGACCUUGAGAAAGCCAUCCCUACCUGCUGCAAAAUUGAUCUAGUGAUCCUUCCAGAUUCCACAGGACAGGGACCAGCAAUGCUUCAGACAAUGGCUAGCCUGUCAGCUUGUGUCCUGGAGUAAGGACAAUGCAGAGCAGAGCCUCCAGGACACCUGCAA